UACGUAGGGACCGAGCGUUGUCCGGAAUCAUUGGGCGUAAAGUGUGCGCAGGCGGCCGCGCAAGUCGAGUGUGAAAUCCCCGAGCUUAACUUGGGAAUUGCGCUCGAAACUACGUGGCUGGAGUGUGGCAGAGGAAGGUGGAAUUCCACGUGUAGCGGUGAAAUGCGUAGAGAUGUGGAGGAACACCGAUGGCGAAGGCAGCCUUCUGGGCCAACACUGACGCUCAUGCACGAAAGCGUGGGGAGCAAACAGG
rnacentral:rRNA from 1 species